CUACAGCCAAGUAGCAUUUCUCCCGUUCGUCCAUUGCUCCUUUAUUUCUCUCUACCUCACAAUGGCAAAUGCCGGAGUUGUAACCGUCUACGGCAACGGCGCUAUCUAUGAAACCACCACUAAGAAAUCCCCCUUCUCCGUCAAGGUGGGCCUUGCCCAGAUGCUCCGCGGCGGCGUUAUCAUGGACGUCGUCAACGCCGAUCAAGCCCGCAUGGCCGAGGAAGCCGGCGCCUGCGCAGUCAUGGCCUUGGAGCGCGUGCCCGCUGACAUCCGCGCUCAGGGCGGCGUUGCCCGCAUGAGCGACCCGCAACUAAUCAAAGAAAUCAAACAAUCCGUCACAAUUCCCGUGAUGGCCAAAGCCCGUAUUGGCCAUUUCGUGGAGGCCCAAAUACUCGAGGCAAUCGGAGUCGAUUAUAUCGACGAGAGCGAAGUUCUCACUCCUGCCGAUGAAGAAAACCACAUUAACAAGCAUAAUUUCCGGAUUCCUUUUGUCUGCGGUUGCAGGAAUCUUGGAGAAGCCCUCCGCAGAAUCCGGGAGGGAGCGGCCAUGAUCAGAACCAAAGGGGAGGCCGGCACUGGCAAUAUCAUCGAGGCGGUUAGGCACGUGAGGUCCGUCAUGGGGGACAUUAGAGUCUUGAUGAACAUGGAUGACGAUGAGGUUUUUACUUUCGCCAAGAAAAUUGCGGCUCCUUACGAUUUGGUGAUGCAGACCAAGCAGUUAGGACGGCUUCCGGUGGUGCAUUUUGCGGCGGGUGGGGUAGCGACCCCAGCGGAUGCAGCCAUGAUGAUGCAGCUGGGAUGCGAUGGGGUGUUUGUGGGUUCUGGAGUGUUUAAGAGUGGGGAUCCGGCGAGGAGAGCCCGCGCGAUUGUGCAGGCAGUGACGCAUUAUAGUGAUCCUGAUGUGCUUGCGGAGGUGAGCUGUGGAUUGGGCGAGGCUAUGGUUGGAAUUAAUCUGAAUGAUGAUAAGGUUGAAAGGUACGCCAAUCGAUCAGAGUAAUAGCUAAUUAGCUAUUGAAUCACAUUACAUUUGGUGGGGGAUAUGCGUACCCCUAUACUAUACUACUCUUGCUUUUAGCUUUGGCUGAAUAUUUAGCCCUUUCAACUUGUGAGACAUCAUCUGGAUUUAUAUUUUAUUGCUUAAUCCGUAAUCUUAGAAACAUUGUUUAUUUUCAAUUCUCAAGUUUUUAAUUAUGGGCUGUUAGAAACUGUUACAGAUGGAUUUGUUUUGCUCCCCCCUUUUUGGUUGCAAAUAAUGAAGUUGAAUGGAGAUAUAUGAACUGACAUGAUAAAAAAGAGUUUCAGACUUUUAGAAGAGUUUCCCCCUUUUUACUUGCUGUUGCUGAUUGUGAUCCCACUAAGUAAAUCCUUUGAUUGUAUUGAACACCUAGUCGUAGUUACUAGUUUACUAUUUUGGUUUUGGCAAGCCUGGCUUUGGUUUAUAAGGAAUGCUCUUGAGGUUUUAUUAGCUGAUCAUAAGCUUUGGUUUUAUUUCCAUCUGUUUGAUAGUUAUAUGCAUGUAUCCCUAACCUAUUACACGCAUUUAAUGUUACUAUUGAUAGAAAUGGAUGGUUGGUUAGCACUUGAAUUGCUUAAUUGGCACAGUUCUCUACCUGCUUUGCCUUGGAAUAUUUUGGACUAUGGAUCCUAAAUUUAUGAUUUAGGUAAUUGGCUUAACUAGUUGGAUUCAGUGUCUGCGACUGCAAACUGUAUUAGAUUGGAUGCAUGAGCGGUGUUUUAUGCAGUAGAUCAUGAGAUUGGAUGAUAUUAGAUUGGAUGCAUGAGUCUUGCUUGUAAUGGGCCUCUGGCCAGAUAUAUCUUGUAAGAGCCCAUUGGGUUUUUCUCUUUAAUGAAUCUAUCUUUUCUAAAAAAAAAAAAAAA
rnacentral:misc_RNA from 1 species